rnacentral:misc_RNA from 1 species
UCCGAGUUGACCCCGGCAGUCUCCCACGAGUCCCCGGCAUUACCCGCUGGCAACAUCGGACAGGGGUUGCGCUCGCUGCGCCACUUAAGGCAACACCUCACGGCACGAGCUGACGACAGCCAUGCAGCACCUGUGCAGGCUCCCGAAGGAGCACCGUGUUUCCACGGUUUCACCCUGCAUGUCAAGCCCUGGUAAGGUUCUUCGCGUUGCGUCGAAUUAAGCCACAUGCUCCGCCGCUUGUGCGGGUCCCCGUCAAUUCCUUUGAGUUUUAGCCUUGCGGCCGUACUCCCCAGGCGGGGUACUUAAUGCGUUAGCUGCGGCACGGAGUCCGUUGAGAGACCCCACACCUAGUACCCAACGUUUACGGCGUGGACUAC